GUUUUCUGUGAAUUUAGGUUGCUUCAGACUAGUUCUUCCCAGCCUCUGAGGUUUCUUAGAGCGCUGGGUCCCUGAUCACAGCCACACUGCCCAGGUGUUCAGCUCCACCCAGAUAAUCAGCGCGUGGUCUGCCCCUGGUGUUUAGCUCUGCAGAGAUGUUCAGCGCAGCCGCCCCAAGUACAGUUCCCUGUGCUCAGCGCCGGGUUCUCCAGUGAAACCGCCCUGAGAAGUUUAUUCCUGGCAGUCCCCAGAUCCCAAGGACCCUGGAGUGCCCCCCCCCCCCACAGAGAUGUUCCCCACUCACUCGCUGUCCCGGUGAGCGCUCAGGUAGCUCACUCUGGUUUGGUGGGGGAGGUGGGGUGGGGGAAGGGUGGCUCAGUUCACUUUUCUGUGCAAGGUUUACCUCCUUCUUAUUAUAGUGUGGAAAUGUUCAAGCCCCACGUACCUUCGCCUCUGUGGAGUACUGGGAGUACUAGGGUGUCCUUCUGUUCCUGCAAAGAAUCUUUCCUCAAGUGCCAUGUGUGUAGUGGCGAUAUACAAUGUUCAAACCCAACCAAGUGUAAUCCGGAGGAGAAAUUCUGCGUGUUUACGAAAUUGGAGACUGACAAGAGGCGUAUUAUCAAAUAUUGUUCAUCCACCUGUCCAUUCCAGGAUAUUCAAGAAAGAAAGUAUCUACAGUUUUAUGCAGCCUGUUGUGUUACCGACUUAUGCAAUUAUAACAUAUUAGGAGAAGGGCACAAGUUAAGAGUCCGUUUUCCAAUGAUAGCAAUGACAUUGGUAGCAUAUUUCAUUGACGCUUUCCAGAUUGAACCGUGAUAUGUUGAAAUAAAGCUCUGACUCUCCCCA
rnacentral:lncRNA from 1 species